CCUACGGGAGGCAGCAGUAGGGAAUAUUGCUCAAUGGGGGAAACCCUGAAGCAGCAACGCCGCGUGGAGGAUGAAGGUUUUCGGAUUGUAAACCCCUUUUGUUAGAGAAGAUAAUGACGGUACCUAACCAAUAAGUACCGGCUAACUCCGUGCCAGCAGCCGCGGUAAUACGGAGGGUGCAAGCGUUAUUCGGAAUCACUGGGCGUAAAGAGCGCGUAGGCGGGAUAGCAAGUCAGAUGUGAAAUCCUAAGGCUUAACCAUAGAACUGCAAUUGAAACUGUUAUUCUGGAGUAUAGGAGAGGUAGGUGGAAUUCUGGGUGUAGGGGUGAAAGGCGUAGAGAUCAAGAGGAAUACUGAUUGCGAAGGCGACCUACUAGACCAUAACUGACGCUGAUGCGCGAAAGCGUGGGGAGCAAACAGGAUUAGAUACCCUAGUAGUC
rnacentral:rRNA from 1 species